UACAGAGACCUCAAGCGUUGUCCGGAUUAAUUGGGCGUAAAGCGUCCGCAGACGGCCUACUAAGUUCUUCGUUAAAUCUUUGGGCUCAACCCAAAGGCCGCGGGGAAAACUGGUGGGCUAGAGGAUGGGAGAGGCGAGCGGAAUUGCCGGUGUAGUAGUAAAAUGCGUUAAUAUCGGCAAGAACACCAAAGGCGAAGGCAGCUCGCUGGAACAUUCCUGACGUUAAGGGACGAAAGCACGGGGAGCGAAGCGG
rnacentral:rRNA from 1 species